rnacentral:other from 1 species
UUCCUGAAAUGUUCGACACUCCUGUUUAUUUUGAACCUACAUUAUGACGUCAGGGAUUCCAAUAUUUUUAAGCGGAUGUCAGGCCUCCUUUUGAGUGGAAGGCAGAAGUUUAAGUGAGGUUGCCCACCUAGCAAGGCUAGGAGUCAAUUUUGCAGGAAACGGCAUUUUGGGAU